UACGAAGGGGGCUAGCGUUGCUCGGAAUCACUGGGCGUAAAGGGCGCGUAGGCGGCUUUGUAAGUCGGGGGUGAAAGCCUGUGGCUCAACCACAGAAUUGCCUUCGAUACUGCAUGGCUUGAGACCGGAAGAGGUUAGUGGAACUGCGAGUGUAGAGGUGAAAUUCGUAGAUAUUCGCAAGAACACCAGUGGCGAAGGCGGCUCACUGGCCCGGUACUGACGCUGAGGUGCGAAAGCGUGGGGAGCAAACAGG
rnacentral:rRNA from 1 species